GUGCGCGAUAUUCUUGCGAGCGCAGUUUCGUGGGCUUGGACUCCGUGACAUUUGCUUUCGCCAUAUGUGAAUUAACUGCUUGCCGACAGGUCAACCGCCGCUGUACUUCGUGAUGCCAAACUACUUACCGGUCACAUGCUUGGACUUCUGAAGGAGUACUUGAAAGGUUUUCCUUCCAAUCCAGCAUUGUAACUGACGCCUGUCACAGGGAACAUGGAGCAUCACCCUCACCUUCCAAGUGGCUCCUCCCAUCACACAUCAAAUGUGCACCAAGAAAGGCCAAUGUUGUGGUGCAGAGAGGCCUUGACAUGUUCGGCAUUCAAUAGCACAAUAAUGGCAUGACUUACUCACAAACUGGAGCAUGCAUCAUUUGCUUCUGAUCUACCAUGCCAUGAUGUUGCGAAAUCAUGGAGCCACACUGCCUUUGGCAUUUUUAAAUGUUCGCAUUAAGGAUAAUAUAUUUCUUGUGCACAGAAGCAAUAUAAAGUUUCAUAGUGUAAUUAACUGAUUGACAGCUACACACGCAUAAGAAAAAGAUUGUGCCAGGACUACUUAAACUCUGCAAUGUUUAAAUUAGCUUGGCCCAUUCUUGCAAUGUUACACAUUUCAUAUGAAUGCAGGUCACUCAUUACAGUUAUGCCAGCUUUUGUACGUUUUAGACAUGCAAUGUUUGCCCCAGUUUUAUACGGCAAUCAUAGAUAGCCACACCAUGUUGGUAGAAUAAUUCAGAAGUAAAUUUUAGUAAAAGCACCAUUUAUGCCCGGGCUUAGACUAUGCCAGUGUAAUUUGUGAUUCUCAUCAGCAAUACCGAAUCAAUAAACUUGAACGUGUUCAGAAAUUGGCAGCAAGAUUUAUUUACUCUUCCUAUCGACGAACGCAAUCUGCAACAGCCCUGCUAACAAGGGCAGGACUGCAAACGGUAAAUGGCUGGAGAAAAAUAGCCUGCGUAAAGUUCCGUUAUCAGUUGAACGGUGAAUUUACCUCAACUCACCUGCUCCCACCUGGAAGAAUGUUUUUUACCCUAUAACUCACGAGUUGAUAUGUACAAAUAUGAAUUUCUUGUUCACACUAUAGCUAUGUGGAAUAACCUUGUUCCUGAAGUUUUCAAUGGUGUUGAUGGCUUGACUUUUUUUGAACGGAAUUU
rnacentral:lncRNA from 1 species